rnacentral:rRNA from 1 species
GACAUAGGUUGCGAACGUUAUCCGGAAUUAUUGGGCGUAAAGGAUGCGUAGAUGGUUUGAUAAGUUAUCAGUAGCAAAUCGGGGCUCAACCUCGUGGAAGUUGGUAAUACUGUCAUACUUGAGUGCAGGAGAGGUUAACGGAACUCUAUAUGGAGCGGUAAAAUGUGACGAUAUAUAGAAGAACACCAAUUGGCGAAGGCAGUUAACUAUUCUGUUACUGACAUUGAGGCAUGAAAGCGUGGGGAGCAAAACGG